GAAAGCGUGCCCGAAAAUUAAGGACCCCCUUGAUAGGGGGGAAAAUAUGGGUUUAAACCCCAUCACUUUCU
rnacentral:tRNA from 1 species